rnacentral:snRNA from 1 species
AAAUGUAAGGGCAAUUUGGCUAUACAACAUGUCACUACAUUAAUAUCUAGUGUAGCUUGAGACAAUCUAGCUAACAAUGUAGAUGUGUUUUUUUUUACUCCCCUCUUUAUAUGUGGCCUUCCAGAGGUGUUCCUUUUGCCCAAGAUGAUAAUUUUUAUCUAAAGAGAACUUUUCAUUAGGUAAGAGUACCUAAGUGGAGACUCACCCUAUUAGAAUCUCUUAAGCAAAGACCUACCACAGUUGAUUGCACCAUCUGGCCAGAGUGUGCACUAUGUAACUAGGCAAGAGUUCUCCAAAAACCCCAGCCAGGGUUGGGUAUAAUCGGGGUUGGGAGAUGAUCCAGGUGAGGUGUACAUUCUGCUUGUUUGG